CACGUAGGAGGCGAGCGUUUGUCCGGAAUCAUUGGGCGUAAAGAGCGCGCAGGCGGCUUGGCAAGUCGGGUGUGAAAUCCCGGGGCUCAACCCCGUGACUGCAUCCGAUACUGUCAGGCUAGAGGUAGGUAGGGGAGAUCGGAAUUCCUGGUGUAGCGGUGAAAUGCGCAGAUAUCAGGAGGAACGCCGGUGGCGAAGGCGGAUCUCUGGGCCUUACCUGACGCUCAGGCGCGAAAAGCUAGGGGGAGCGAACAGG
rnacentral:rRNA from 1 species